rnacentral:rRNA from 1 species
CCUACGGGUGGCUGCAGUCGAGAAUUUUUCACAAUGGGCGAAAGCCUGAUGGAGCGACGCCGCGUGGGGGAUGAAUGGCUUCGGCCCGUAAACCCCUGUCAUUUGCGAGCAAGGCGGCCGGCCUAAUACGCCGGCCGUUGAUAGUAGCGAAAGAGGAAGGGACGGCUAACUCUGUGCCAGCAGCCGCGGUAAUACAGAGGUCCCAAGCGUUGUUCGGAUUCACUGGGCGUAAAGGGUGCGUAGGUGGUCGGGUAAGUUCGAUGUGAAAUCCCCGAGCUCA